UCUGCUCAGCAAAGAGACAAGCACCAUAUUCCCAUUGCACCUGCGUGCCAGAGGGAGAAGACCCAGAAGGAGUUUGUCUAGCUUGCAGUUACACCGUGGGAGUCACAAACUGAACUGGACCCAAAAGAAACUUUUGUUGUGAUUGUGGAAAGAGCAAGUUAAAAAAUUCGGAAUGCAAAUUGUUUCCUGACAAAUGGACGGUGGUAACUUCUUGUAACAGUACAGUAAACACAGUUUCUUUGGAUUAUACCGCGUUUGUAAGGGACGCCAUUCUGAUCCCGAGGUAAGGUUCUAGACGAGAUGAAUCAGUUAUGUCUGUGAGGACCGGCUCCAUGACAGGCAUCUUGGUGCUAUUCCCCCCUGAGAGUCGGGGUGUCCAAGAGAUGGUAUAGCAGGCUUGUAUGAACCACUGUUCUUCCUUGCACUGCCCAGUUGGCAGUUACCAGAAUAUCUGCUACUGUUUGUUAACAAGAUGGGCGAUCAAGAAGUUAUGAAGCCUUGAAAAUAGAGGUCACCCGGAUAACACCCUAGAAGAGGAUGUUCUAGAAUAUGCUGGCAAGGAAGUUGAAGCUGUGCAGAAUGAUGAACCCUGUACCAGCUCGGGUUCUGAAUCGGACCUCCAGACAGUGUUUAAGAAGUACAAUAAGGAAGAAAAGAUCAAAACUGAGUUGCAGACUUUGGGCGCGCCAAGCUAAGCACUCUGAAGAAACAUGCCACCUAUUGGCCCCUGAGCAGGCGCCGCAGGCUGUGCACCUGACGAGACUCUAAGCCAAUGCACGGAGAGCUAGAUGUCCUGUUCCUGACAGGACAUCUAGCUCAUGGAACAAAGGCAAGAGUGACCAGGCAACUUAAUAGACACCCUUAGACACCCUUAGCAGCACUAGUAGAGUCCACCAAGUGGAGCUCAGUUGUGAAUACUAAACUUAAAGAGUAUCUGAAGAGAUUUACGGAGGUGCGGUUGUUAGAGAGGACACGCAGCAAUUUGAAGAAUUUCAAUCAAAAAAGAGAAGGAGAGUGGAUGAGCCGCAGUAUUACUGCAGCUAG
rnacentral:lncRNA from 1 species